UGAGGAAUAUUGGUCAAUGGGCGAGAGCCUGAACCAGCCAAGUAGCGUGCAGGAUGACGGCCCUAUGGGUUGUAAACUGCUUUUAUAUGGGAAUAAAGUGAGGGACGUGUCCCUAUUUGCAUGUACCAUACGAAUAAGGACCGGCUAAUUCCGUGCCAGCAGCCGCGGUAAUACGGAAGGUCCAGGCGUUAUCCGGAUUUAUUGGGUUUAAAGGGAGCGUAGGCUGUUUGUUAAGCGUGUUGUGAAAUGUAAGAGCUCAACUUUUAGAUUGCAGCGCGAACUGGCAGACUUGAGUGCGCACAACGUAGGCGGAAUUCAUGGUGUAGCGGUGAAAUGCUUAGAUAUCAUGACGAACUCCGAUUGCGAAGGCAGCUUACGGGAGCGCAACUGACGCUAAAGCUCGAAGGUGCGGGUAUCGAACAGG
rnacentral:rRNA from 1 species